GAUGAAGAACGUAGCGAAAUGCGAUAAGUAAUGCGAAUUGCAGAAUUUCCGUGAGUCAUCGAAUCUUUGAACGCACAUUGCGCCCGCCAGUACUCUGGCGGGCAUGCCUGUUCGAGCGUCAUUUCAACCCUCGGGCCCCGCAUUCGUGCGGCCCCGGCGUUGGGGACCGGCCUCCGCAUCGGACGGCCGCCCCCGAAACCCAGUGGCGGUCCCGCCGCGGCCUUCUCUGCGUAGUAGCAUACACCUCGCACUGGAGAGCGGCGCGGCCACGCCGUAAAAGAAACGAACUUUCUGAAGGUUGACCUCGGAUCAGGUAGGAAUACCCGCUGAACUUAAGCAUAUCAAUAAGCGGAGGA
rnacentral:misc_RNA from 1 species